rnacentral:rRNA from 1 species
GACGAACGCUGGCGGCGUGCUUAACACAUGCAAGUCGAACGGUGACGAAUGGAGCUUGCUCUGUUCUGAUCAGUGGCGAACGGGUGAGUAACACGUGAGUAACCUGCCCCUGACUCUGGAAUAACUUCGGGAAACCGAAGCUAAUACCGGAUAUGACACAGAGCCGCAUGGUUUCUGUGUGGAAAGUUUUUCGGUUGGGAUGGACUCGCGGCCUAUCAGCUCGUUGGUGAGGUAAUGGCUCACCAAGGCGACGACGGGUAGCCGGCCUGAGAGGGCGACCGGCCACACUGGGACUGAGACACGGCCCAGACUCCUACGGGAGGCAGCAGUGGGGAAUAUUGCACAAUGGGCGAAAGCCUGAUGCAGCGACGCCGCGUGAGGGAUGAAGGCCUUCGGGUUGUAACCGUCUUUCAGUAGGAAGAAGCGCAAGUGACGGUACCGUACAGAAGAAG